AUUCAUUUUAUUUUUAACAUAGUGAUUAAGUAAAAUCUUUUGGAGGUCCUGUGAGGCCAGAAAGCAGUAAUGUCGAAAUUCUGGCACAAUUCUUGGACUUUUACAUAUACUUCUUCUCCACCUUUGCAGACUGUUUUCAGUCUGAAAGUAUUCAAUUCUUGUGUGUUAAAAAAAUAAAUUUCUAUUGACAUGAAAUGAACAUGGAAGUGUCUUUGGGAGGUAAAUUAGAAAAGGCCUUGUACUGGGGAAGGAUUUCAGAUGUAAUCUGAUAAAGAAUAAAGGGUCAUUUAAGGUUCUUCAGCAGGGAUACUUAUAUGAGUAGAGACUUGCUUUAGAGUUGGUAAGACUGGAAUAGAAGGAGGCAAGCCUGGAAGGCAGGAGGCUGAUUCAGGACCUACUGCCUAAAACAAAGAUGAUGAGGUCUUACAAUCUUUCUGUACUUUUUCUGCAAUGAUCCCUGAGAAGCUGGGGGGCAAAAGUUUGACAUAGGUAUCUUAUUUAGGGAUAAACAGUCUACAGUCUCUUACUCUCUGAACAUUGGCCAGUUGUGGUUCUCUGUUACUUCUAUGAAAUCACAACAAUGCUGACAGAAUGGAUAAGUCCCAUGUAAGCUCAAGCCAAACAAAUUUCCUACACAGACAUGGGGAAGUGAGGAAGAACCCCCAGCCCUAACUGAAGAAUUGUUUGCAACUGAUGACUGCUGGUAAGGGAAAAUGCAGUCUCUUUUAAGGGUGAGACUUUUAGUAGGUAGACCUGGCUCCAACCAAUGAACCCACACUGAAGGGUAUUUGGGGAUAUAAGGUUGACUCUACAGUUCUACAUUAUGUAUGAGUACAGAAAUUUGGUGGGAGAUUAGAAAUAGGGAGUACAAACAUAGGAAGGAAUCAAAAUAAGAUCAAAAUACAUUGUAUGAAAUUCACAAAUUUAAAAAAUAAAAAGCUGAUAGAGACCUGUAGUCAAAGUGAUGGAGGCAAGGAAGAAAGGAAAUUCUCAGGAGAAAUCUGGAGAAAGCAGUGAAAACUUCAGGUACCUGACCAAAUGUGGGCACUGGAGGAAAAAGAAACUGGUUGUUGACAUCAUGUGAUCACUAGCCUUCGGGGCCAGAGACAGGGUUACUAUGGUCCACUUGGACAGGGAAGAGGAAAAUAUAUUUGAAGAUGUCUGGGUUAAUUUUGUUUGGUUUUGUUUUUAUAUACAGGAAUCUGAAAUGUGAGUUACCUGAAGAGGAUCUAUGGAAAAUGAAAUUUAGGAAGUUAGAUAUACAUAGUAAGAGGUCAGAACACUGACUCUAAAGAGACAAAUAUUUCCUUCCAGCUUUUUCUUCAAGGCAAAUCAAAAUUUAUUCAAAACACAGAGAAGAAAAGGACUGGCAUUCAUUUGAACCUUUUAGGUCACAUCCCUUGUAACCAUGAGGAUUAGAACUACUUAUUAAUCAGGUUUUUUUGGCAUUAGAGAUGAACCUCAGCAAUUAUGCCAAUAAGUUUCACCAAUAAUGUUCUUCCCCUAAAUGUAUGCAAAUGUUAUCAACAGUAGAGAUGGUGAUUUUGAAAACAUAAUAAUAAUGAUAAUAGCCACAAAUAAACUAGAUGGUGGAUAAUUGUGUCAAUUAUAAAAGGCCAACAUUGGUGUUCACCAAGAGCAAAGACAUAUGGAUUAAAAAAUAUCAAAUGAAUUGAAGAAGUAUAUUAGAAAAGCUUAUUAAGUAGGUGUCUACUGAUUGAUGAGUACAAUAAGAUUAAUGAGAACUUAAAAACAAUAGAUCUUUAUUCAAAUAUGCUCUACCAUGUUUACUGAUGUGUUUAGCUGCUUAUUUAACAUCUUUUAGUUCCCCUUUAUGUGUCUGAUAAUCAGUUAAACGCUGAGUAUACACUCUGAAGUGAUGAAAAUGGUCUGUGGACAAAAAGUGAAAAUGGCCAUUCAAACUAUUGACAAGUGUUCUAAGAGAAUUAUGCCCCACAGUUGAAAGGGAACAGAACUGAGUGAGGAGGAGGCGAAGCACCUUGAGGGCAUGGUUCUUGACCUGUGCCUUGAAGCACCAGGAGAAAGCUGGUCUGAGUAAGGUUCUAGACAGAGAAGCUGACAUGAAAGAUGAAAAGAUGAAAACCAAUGUGGACCACGUAAAGAAUUCUGAAUGCUUGGUUCUACAUGAUAACAAGACAUGAGUUGGUAAAUGAGUAAAGAUCAGGUGCAAAUGAACAAUGAACUUGAGGAUACUGUAACCUUAAGAAUUUACCUCUUGACCCAUUCCUCUGGAGAAAGUAGGCUGAACUGGACUUACUGACAAAAUUUUUCUUGAGUAUUAGAAUACUGAAACCAUUAAAUUACGUUCCCUCAACAUCUUCAGAUACAAGUCCCCAUAAUAACAUUUGGAAUGGUUCAAUUAAGAUCAUUCUAGAAACAAACAUUCUCAAAUCCAAGAUGAGAUAUCAGCUUUAUUGCCCUGUUUGUUCAUCUCCCUCAAAUUUCCUUCAGGAAAUGACAGGCACCAUUAGAGAGUAGAUUGUAUUCCCAGAAACUGUCUCGGCUGCCACCGGUGCCCAGCAGCCUCAGCAAUGCAUGUUUCCUGGAAGAGCAUUUCAUUGUCAGAAGUGCUGACUGUCUCAGACAACCGUGGGGCCAGCCAGGAAAUUUACAGGAAGAGCCACUGCAUGGUUCAGCUCUAAUAGGCUCCUAACAAGAAGUUUUCUACAAGCUACAAUUUCAGCCAGAACCAGAAGGAAGAUGACAUUAUGAACAGAACUGUUGAAUGGAGGCAACCAGUCCUCUCUAACCACGUGCAACCCAUACCAUCAUUGAAUGCAUGUUAAGUCUCUGAGCUAAGAGAUAAAAACAACCUAAAUAUCCCUCAACUGACGAGUGG